AGAGUUUGAUCAUGGCUCAGGACGAACGCUGGCGGCGGGCCUAACACAUGCAAGUCGAACGCACUCGACCUUCGGGUCACAUGAGUGAGUGGCGAACGGGUGAGUAACACGUGAGAAACCUGUCCCGAAGACUGGAAUAACCCGAGGAAACUCGGGCUAAUACCGGAUGCCCCCACCGGAUCACAUGAUCUGGUGAGGAAAUGCUCCGGCGCUUCGGGAGGGUCUCGCGGCCUAUCAGUUAGUUGGUGAGGUAACGGCUCACCAAGGCAUCGACGGGUAGCUGGUCUGAGAGGACGAUCAGCCACACUGGGACUGAGACACGGCCCAGACUCCUACGGGAGGCAGCAGUGGGGAAUCUUGCGCAAUGGGCGAAAGCCUGACGCAGCCACGCCGCGUGAGGGAUGAAGGCUUUCGGGUUGUAAACCUCUUUCAGCAGGGACGAAAAUGACGGUACCUGCAGAAGAAGCUCCGGCCAACUACGUGCCAGCAGCCGCGGUAACACGUAGGGAGCAAGCGUUGUCCGGAUUUAUUGGGCGUAAAGAGCUCGUAGGCGGUUCGGUAAGUCGGGUGUGAAAACUUGAGGCUCAACCUCAAGAGGCCACUCGAUACUGCUGUGACUGGAGUCCGGUAGAGGAGUGUGGAAUUCCUAGUGUAGCGGUG
rnacentral:rRNA from 1 species